CUCCUCUCUGGUUUACACCACCGACAAAUGGACCCUACCCCCACUUAGGUGUCUGCUGCUGAACUGAACCGUCAGGGUGGAGCAUAAAUUAGUCUGACGAACCUCUAAAAGGAAUCAAGGCUAAAGGACACAAAUGGAUGCAUUAAGCUCAUUAAACUGUUAAGCACCAAGUGAAAACCAUAAAUCGCUCAAAUGCAAAUUACAGAGCUGUGACUGUGCAUGAAACUAUUCCAUCUAUGGAGUGUCCCAUCUGCCCACUUUGUGCUUAUCUGUGAUGCAAAAGCAUAUGAGAAGAAUGCACAUGGCAUUUGGAGAUGGACUAUAUGACCUUUGAAGAUCGCUUCCUACUCAAAUAAUUCUGUGAUUCCGUGAUGACUGAAGGAGUGAAGAGGGUUGCAAAGGGUACCAUGGUUUUGUGUAUUCACAUUGGACCUUCACAGGAUGCUGGGGUCAGACUUGUGCUGUGCUAAGCAUCACAGGGGAAAGCAACCCUUACAUAGGGAAGUUCACCUGGUGCACACCUCUCCAUAUUGGGAGGGCGUGCUCUGAAGGAGAAGGGAGGAGGUCAGGGAUGCACCUCGUGCAGGCUGCCCUCACAUCAGCAUAAGGCACUGAACCCUGGUAUCAAAUGGCAGGUGAUUCAGAGAGGCCAGCAGAUCCUGUAUGUGAUUGUAGGAUAUCUCAUCCAAGAUGAGAGGUGUGAUGAAGUGUUCUUUGUUACUAGUUUAUGUGGAUUAACCAGUGAAGGUUUGGCUCUCUAGUUCUCAUAUUCCUACAUGUGCAUACAGAUAGUCCAUUGCACGUGUUCUGAAUAUAUAACAUCAUGUGUGUUGAACAUUUGUAUCACAUGUACUCAGUACACCCAAAUGUCAGCACAGCUCUGACAUGAGCGCCCGUGGGUACCACAAUUGGCACUGGCAGAGAAGGUGAACCCCUUGUCAGCAGUAUCACUUUCCAGCUUUGUGCCAUGGACUUCUCCGAGUCAUGUAGUAUUAAUGAUGAGUCUCUUGCUCUCUGAAAUGCUUUUUGCAGUGUGUCCACCCCAAAAGCAGGAAUGAGGCUAACACUGUCCCUGUUCAGGAGCAACCUGAUCCAGCUGUGGCUGUUCAUUGCAGGGCAGUAGGACCAGAUGGCCUUUAAAGGUUUCUUCCAAAUCAAACAAGUCUAUGAUUCUACGACCAAAAUUUCCCAGGUCUGAUGAGAAGACAAGACGUGCCAGCUCUGCCAUUGCUCUCCUGCUGUCACAAUUAAACCUGUGUGGAAAGACUUUGUUAAGAUAAUAACAGACUGAAGCAAACCAUUGAGAGUGUGCAAGUAAAGACUGAAUUAUUGCAAUAGACAUAUUCGCUAUAGAAAUAGUCAAGAACUUCAGGGUAAUUUUCAGUCAUACCUCCCAUGAAUCUUUGUUAGAGGCAACACCAGCAAGAAAUGUAUCAGAGGAAGGAAACCAGAGGAAGGAAACAUCCAGGCUGGAUGUGGCUCUGGGCAGCCUGGUCUGGUGGUUGGCAACCCUGCACAUAGCAGGGGGGUUGAAACUGGAUGAUCACUGUGGUCCUGUUCAACCCAGGCCAUUCUAUGGUUCUAUGAUUCUAUGAAAACGUAUCCUGUAAAUCUUCAUGUUACAGCUCCCUGGAGUUUGCAGCAAGCACAGGUCAAUUUAGCAUAGCUAUUUGUGAGUGACACAGACAACAGCAGCGCAUCCCUCUCUAUUUCCAGUAAUGCCAAAUCAUGAAUCAUAGAAUGGUUUGGUUUGGAAGGGACCUUUAAGGUCAUCGAGUUCCAGUACCUCCCAUUAGACCAGGUUUCUCAAAGCCCCAUCCAGCCUGGCCUUGAAUAUCACAAUUCAAACUAAAUAUAAAUAAACAUAUAACUAUAAAUAAAUAUAUGUAUAUAUAUAUUUUUUUCAAUUAAGCUGUAUCUUUUAAACACAAAGCAUUUAAUCAUAAAACAAUGCCUACAGUAAUGUAGAACAAUAAACCUCUUCUACCAGUAAGAAUUUUACACAGGAAGACUUAUUGUUUGGGAAGGAAAAUAAUGAUUCUCAGCUAUGCCAUCUUUAAAAACAUUCACAUAGGCUUUCAUUGAGUGGAAUUAUUUUAUUAAAAAAAAAAACAAAACACAAAAACCCAACUCCUGUUAAAUGUAAUCAUGAUAACUGGUUCAUUAUAACUACUGUUAAAAUUAAUGAUUGAAGAGCUUGCCUCCUUCUUUCUCCAUUUCUUCCUGUGCGUUUAUACUUUUGUUAAGGUCAAAGCAAUUAAGCUUUCCUCUUCUGACAUGGCCAGCUGCCUGGAAGCCCAG
ensembl:lncRNA